rnacentral:lncRNA from 1 species
UUUGCAGAAGGGUCCUGGGGGUCAAUAUAGUCACGAUUGCUCAACUCUUCAUUAAGCUACAGGUUUAUAGGUUAUUUGAUAAUAAGUCCAGAAUGCAGCUGCUGUAGGAGCUUCUAAUGCACUUCUCUAUUACUUCAAGAACACUGUGUAUAAUAAUAAACUCUACAGAAAUAAACCAAAUCACAAGAAGCUUUCAGGUCUGGAGGCUGACAUUUCUCAAGACAGAUGAAGAACCUGAGGCUCACCUUGCUUAAGUGACUUGAGCAGCUUCACGCAUCUUGUAAGUAGUAGAGACAGAGUCAAAACCAGAUCUUCCUGCCCUCUCUAUCAUAUAAACCACUUACACUGAAUUACAAAGUGAAACUGAUCUAUGGUGAAUUGUACUAAUGUUCUGCUUCUGCCAUGGGCACCAGAGGAGAUACCUUUCUUUGUUGACACUAAUCUCAAAGGCUAAAUUAGAUCCCCCAAACUCAUUUCCAUUAAUAACAUGUCAAAGGCUUGUGUCAUGCGUUAAUUUAUCCAAAGUGAUCUUGAUUCUAUUUACAUUUUGGUGCCACCUUUUAAUGUCACCAUUUUUAUAAAUUAAAUAUGUAAUAUAUAAAGCCAGUCUUCACUUACUGAUAUGUUAAUUUUUAACCCAAACUUCUUAGUCUGACAUUCCAGCAAUACCGGAGCAUUGACAGUUGAUAAUAGCUCUAUGUGCUACCUCUCCAAGAAACAAAUUUGCAUUUUAACCUGCCCCUUCAAUGGCUGAACUUCAAAGGGUCACUGAUGAAUGCCACAGCAGAGAAAACUGCAAAUUGGAACAGCAGAGCUGUGCCUCUGGCCAUUUCCUGGAACUACAGAGGAGCAACUUGCCCCGGUUUCCAGUGGGUGAUGUUCCUCUUCUGCCACAGUCCCUGGCGAUGUUGAUGUGAUUGCCAUCAGAGCUCAGAAGCACAGAGCAGAAUCAUCCCCUGGAGGAGGAUUCCCUUCAGUGUAAGAAGUUCUUACAGAAUUAAUCCUCAAAGACUGUGGGUGGACUCUGCCAGGUUUUUCCCCGGGUGUACCAGAAGAGAGGAAGAGCCCUCAAAUACAGGAAAGUGCUCUUUUCAGUGACAGUAGUUCUUUUGGGCCCUGUGGCUAAGUGUGCUCCCACCCCAGCAGUAAGAUCACAGCUAAUCCUGAGAGGCAAGAGCUCACACCAGGCUACUGAAAGAAAAAGUGUCCUUUGUGGAUUGCAAGAGGAACUGGGACACACUGCUGGAAAUGAAGUGGCAGGUCAUAAACUAUCAUAAACUCAGGAGGAGAGGUGUUCCUUUUUGAGACACUCAUCACAACUAGAGAGAAUGCAGCUAAGAAAAUGCAGUCUUUAGGGGGACCUGGACUGUUGAAGUAUUUGAGCUAUUCGGAGGAAAUAGAAACUUGGAAGAGAUCUUUGUUCCACUAUUAUUUGGCAGCCCCUUACCCGCAGCUGCCAUUACUCCAGAUUCUCUCUGAUGAUCCUGCAUCAGGAGAAUGAGUUGACUGGGCACCACUGGGAAAUGUGGGCAGCUCCAGGCUGAACUAGAGAAGGGGCAUGUCAAAGGUCACUUAUUUGUGGCUUGACCCUUUGGAGGCCAGAUGUAAGAAUCAAUUUCUCACAGGUCCCAUGCUAACGCUUUUCAUAUUUAUUUCCAUCUGAGACUCACUUAGGCUAGGCAAAUAUCCCAUGGGUCUGUACCUCUCCAGUGCUUUCUUGCUCAUGUAAAAUUAGCUCAUUGGAAUGAAUAAAGAGAAUGGUAUUACUUUGGCUCGAACACG